GACGAACGCUGGCGGCGUGCUUAACACAUGCAAGUCGUACGGUAAGGCCCUUUCGGGGGUACACGAGUGGCGCACGGGUGAGUAACACGUGAGUAACCUGCCCACAACUUUGGGAUAACGCUAGGAAACUGGUGCUAAUACUGGAUAUGUGCUCCUGCUGCAUGGUGGGGGUUGGAAAGCUCCGGCGGUUGUGGAUGGACUCGCGGCCUAUCAGCUUGUUGGUGGGGUAGUGGCCUACCAAGGCGGCGACGGGUAGCCGGCCUGAGAGGGUGACCGGCCACAUUGGGACUGAGAUACGGCCCAGACUCCUACGGGAGGCAGCAGUGGGGAAUAUUGCACAAUGGGCGCAAGCCUGAUGCAGCAACGCCGCGUGCGGGAUGACGGCCUUCGGGUUGUAAACCGCUUUCAGCAGGGACGAAGCUUUUUGUGAAGGUACCUGCAGAAGAAGCACCGGCUAACUACGU
rnacentral:rRNA from 1 species